UACGAGGGGGGCGAGCGUUGUUCGGAAUUAUUGGGCGUAAAGGGUGCGUAGGCGGUUUGGUAAGUCUUGUGUGAAAUCUUCGGGCUCAACUCGAAGUCUGCAUGAGAAACUGCCGGGCUUGAGUGUGGGAGAGGUGAGUGGAAUUCCCGGUGUAGCGGUGAAAUGCGUAGAUAUCGAGAGGAACACCUGAGGUGAAGACGGGUUGCUGGGCCGACACUGACGCUGAGUGCGCGAAAGCCAGGGGAGCAAACGGG
rnacentral:rRNA from 1 species